GUCUACGGCCAUGCCACCCUGAACAAGUCCGAUCCCAUCUGAUCUCGGAGCAGGGUCGGGCCUGGUUAGUACUUGGAUGGGAGACCACCUAGGAAGACCAGGUGCUGUAGGUG
rnacentral:rRNA from 1 species